CAGACAAUAACAGCCACACACUUUCACACCUCCUGUCUAUUUCACUGUGCAUACCUGCCCUCUGCCCAAUCUCUUACGACAUCUGUGCUCUCCUGCCCCUUAACCUGGCUCUUGACCUCAAAAGAAAAUGGAUUUUACCCCAGUGAUACCCAACAAGGGAAGUUGAACAAAGUAACUCUUACUCUGUCCACAGUCUCUGGAAUGUGCUCAGGAAGAAGAUUUCUGGUGUCAGGCUAUAUUAGGAUCUCCUGGGCAUGAAGAAGGCCUGGAGGAAGGAAAAGAAGUGACAUCCCGUAUGUCAGAACACAGUCUGAAUUCCGACCCAAAACCCUGCACUGGCGGGAAGUUCCAGAGAGGACUGGAAUGACAAGAAGCUUGACUAGUUUAUUUUCUCUCUGCACAUCCUCUCAUUAAUGUAAUAGAAGCCUCAUUAAAAAGUUAUGAGCGAAACUUUCAUAAUUGCGGAGGGAGAGGGAAAGUUGGGCAUGAGGGACCGGAAAUGCGCAAAGGAAUCCUUGGCCCUGACAGGUGGCAACUCUGAGAGUUGAAGUCUCUGCGUAUCAGGAAGGUAUAAAUAAGGCCCAGGCCGCCAGGAGAGCAGGACUAGCGAAGAGCCUGUGAGCAGGGCAGGGAGCAGCGUGAGUCCCCCUGACUGACUCUCACUGACUCCAGCUCCCACGGAGAAGCCCCUGAGGCGGCAUCUUCCUUCUCUCGUGGACCAAGCACAGGGAUGUGUGCAGUGAGGAGUCCCACUCUGCAAGGAGGAAAUGGGCACUGAAAAGCAGGAAGCAAUUGUCCCCACGCAUGAAGCUCUGCUGCCAACUGGGUGUAAGUCUGGGUCCUGUGCUUCAGGCUGCCAGCUCUUCUGCAAG